rnacentral:lncRNA from 1 species
UGGUAACCAGCAGACAGACCUGAGAGAAGCAAGGCUGCAGAGAAACUGUAGCCAUCACCAAACAGCAAAUCAAAGGGAAGUGUCUCAGGAGAGAUUUCUAAUUAUCACACAUUUGUCCUUGCAGCCAAACCAGGAUGCAAUGGAAAUGGUGCCUUUGGCACUAGCAUCUUAGGUCACAAAAUCAGGGACCAGAAUGUAUCCAUGGACUACUUGGGUACUGCAGAAACCAGAGAAUCUGAAGGAUGGACCAGGAGGUGUCCUGGUGAGCAUGCACUCAGGACAAAGGGCACAAGGUCAUUUGGAGAAGUACUUCCCUCAGCCCAGGGAAAAUUCUGCUAACUGGGGAAUGGCAAGUGGAGCAACCUGGAAGCCACUUGUGGAGGUGGCAAAGUCCCCCUCUCACCAAGGACUGCUCACACGUAGACUGGGCUGCUGCAUCCCACAGUGAAUUACUAGCUACAAAGAGAAGGGACUGCUCUGGGACUGGCAAUUGAGAACAUUUACAAUUAGCUGAAUUGAUUAACCUUUACAAAUGCUGUUAUUUUAUGAGGUGUUUUUCUCAGCCCUGGUUGAACAGUAUGCCUUAUUGAUUCAACAUCCUCCUUUAUGGAAGCCCUGAUUUGUCUGUGACUCCACCAGUCAUAACGCCUGCCUUGGUAAUCGCUUCUGCAUGUUCCUGGGAAAACUUGACACGGGAGACUGAUGGGCAUUAUGGAAAUGGGGUCCAUGCCUCCCUCUGAAGCCAGGGUGCAGACCUGCCUCUUCGCAUCCCUCUCCUGUGGCUGCACACACAAAGAAUGCCAGCUUCUGUGCCAGCAUCUCACUGACACUCAAUUCACUGCCUUGCGACAAAUCCUUGGUUUCUAUCCAGAUUUCUUUAAAUAAUUUGGGGUAUGUAUGUGUGUAAGGGCAGAAGGUGGUGAAAAAUUGUUAGAAAAUAGAAUUGUCUUUAGUUAGUUGUUUUUAAGAUUAUAGACUGACUUUGAGUGUCACUUUGAGUAGUGAUCCCCAA